rnacentral:rRNA from 1 species
AUGAACGCUGGCGGCGUGCCUAAUACAUGCAAGUCGAGCGAACGGACGAGAAGCUUGCUUCUCUGAUGUUAGCGGCGGACGGGUGAGUAACACGUGGAUAACCUACCUAUAAGACUGGGAUAACUUCGGGAAACCGUAGCUAAUACCGGAUAAUAUUUUGAACCGCAUGGUUCAAAAGUGAAAGACGGUCUUGCUGUCACUUAUAGAUGGAUCCGCGCUGCAUUAGCUAGUUGGUAAGGUAACGGCUUACCAAGGCAACGAUGCAUAGCCGACCUGAGAGGGUGAUCGGCCACACUGGAACUGAGACACGGUCCAGACUCCUACGGGAGGCAGCAGUAGGGAAUCUUCCGCAAUGGGCGAAAGCCUGGCGGAGCAACGCCGCGUGAGUGAUGAAGGUCUUCGGAUCGUAAAACUCUGUUAUUAGGGAAGAACAUAUGUGUAAGUAACUGUGCACAUCUUGACGGUACCUAAUCAGAAAGCCACGGCUAACUACGUG